GCUUUUAAAUAUUUAGAUAUCUAAUGAUAAAUAUAAAUUCAUUUAAUAUUUGAGUUUACGGUCACCAAAAAAAUAUUUGCGCUUCUUAAGCACGGGUCAAAAUCUAGUUAACCAUUAAAAUUUUGACAAUGUUAAAUGAUUCUUUUUUUAAGUUUUCGAGUUUCUUAAACAAGAAAAUUGUGAUCUCUUUUUCUUUUUUUUUUCUUUUUAAAUUUUUAUUGGUAAAGAGAUUUACUGAAAUAGAGAGAUUCACUGCUGCUGAUGUUCUAUUUUCGAAAAGGUUAUUUCAAUUUCUUUUUGUAGUAUUAUUGUUAAUCCAACAAGCUGAGAACUUUGUUUUCUUUUGAAAGUCACAAAAAUGUAUUACUACUUUUUCUCAAAAAAUAAAUAAAUGUAAUACUAUACUACUAUUCAUUAUCUUCCAAGACAUUACAUGUUUUGUGUUUAAUUCCCUAUAGCCCUAUUCUUACUCUCCUUCUGUCUCACUUAUCACCUUUUACAGAGACUAUUUUCGCCGCAACUAACAGAGAGCCUCCAUCUAAUUGACUAUAUAUAUAACUUUGACAAACCCUAACGGAUCUUUUCUCUUUUCUUGUACCAUCUCGUGACUCUCCCUAUCCAGUCGGUGACUCUAUCUCUCUCUCUCUCUGUCUAAUCUUAGAUGUUCAUUGGGUUUUCUUUCUUUCUUCAAGGUGUCAAAUGAACAUCUCUAUCUUUUCAUUUCCUUUCUAGUACAUAGAAUCUUUCCUUUUCCCUCCUUAAAGUGUUGACAUUUUUGCUAAAUUUAGUAAACAAAGAUUUUGUCAGAGGGUUUAAGGGUUUAUCAUCCAUCACCCUACAGAUAAACAGCCCAAAACAAAUCAAGAUUCAUUUCCCAAAGCCUUAUUAUAACUUUCCUAAAAAGGAAACCUUAAACCUUCUCUCUCACACGAACAGUUGAGUUGGUACUUGGUACAAUUCUCAGAAAUUUUCUGAAUCAACUUUUAAAAAGAAAACUUAAUUAAGAGUUAACCACAUCCUCAAGUCCAAUAGUUAUCAGAACUGUACUCCUCUGUUUCUUGAUUUUCCCGGAAAGUUCUGUUUUUUUUUUUUAUCUCUUAUCGGCAGAGAAAUGUCGUCUUGUCUAAGCGGCGGCGCCACCUAUACUUUAAAAACGAUGAAAUCUCCGCCGUCGAGAGCCGCCUCCACACACAACACUCCUUCACCGUCAUCUACAAUCUCCGAAUCCAACUCGCCUCCGUUCACAAUCUCCACAAGAAGGCCAAGGACUCGGCGGAAACGACCAAACCAAACUUACAACGAAGCGGCGGCUCUCCUCUCGACCGCAUACCCAAACAUCUUCUCCUCCAUGAGAAACACUCUGUCUCCCGGGACUAAGUCUCCUCUCAGCGACUACGACGAAGCUUCCCAGUUACUUCUUCCCUUUGAGACAAUCGACGAGGUGUUCAAUCCCGCAAUACAGACCGAACCGUAUCAGUUCUUGGAGAAGAGAGAGUUCAGUUUCAACUCGGAGGUGACUCGGUUUGAGUUAUUAGACGACUUCGACGCGGAAUCGAUUAUUCUUGAUGAUGAGGAGAUUGAAGAAGGGAUAGAUAGUUUUAUGGGGAGCAACGAAUCCAACGACGGAGAAUGUACGACGAUGCCUUGGUACCGAAGCUCCAUAGGAUUCAGCUCCCCCGGAAACUUCCCGUUAGGGCUCGGCUUGAGGAGCUCUCUUCGGGAAGAAGACGACGAUGAUGAUGGGAGCUUGUGCAGAUAUCCCACUGUAGAACUCAAACACAUCUCGCCGAGAAUUCAGACCACCACAACCGCCGCCGCAUUAACCGAUGACGUAGCCGUGGAUAGUAUCAAGAGUAAGAAAAAAAAGACGAAGAAGAAGAAGAAAGUGGCUGCGGCGGCGGCGGAAUCAAGGAGCGUUGAAGAUUUGACGACGGAGAAGAGAGUGAGUACGUUUUUGAAGCUUGACUACGAUAGGGUUUUAGAGGCUUGGUCGGAUAAGGAGUCGCCUUUCUCCGAUGAGAUUCUUGGCUCGCACGCUACCGGUAUAGACAUCCAUAUUUAAUCAAAAAACAUUAGAUGAUGCUUUAAUAAAGGAUAGAAGAUUUUGAAGCAGCAAAUGCAAAAGUUACUAAUGUAUGAGGGUUUUUGGGACAGACAAUGUUGGCUGAGAUAGAUUUGUUUGGAGAAAGUGGAAUGAGAGAAGCUAGUGUGUUGAGGUAUAAAGAGAAACGGAUGAAUCGACUCUUCUCCAACUCUAAACAAAUUCGAUAUCAAGUUCGCAAACUCAGUGCCGAUCAACGACCCCGUAUGAAGGGACGAUUUGUGAGACGGCCCAACGUAAGGAGCUUAAGUGGGUUAUGAUUGUGAGAAGAAGAGUGGAAUCUCUUUUGUUUAUUCAUGUUUAAU